rnacentral:rRNA from 1 species
GACGGACGCUGGCGGCGUGCCUAAUACAUGCAAGUUGAGCGCUGAAGGUUGGUACUUGUACCAACUGGAUGAGCAGCGAACGGGUGAGUAACGCGUGGGGAAUCUGCCUUUGAGCGGGGGACAACAUUUGGAAACGAAUGCUAAUACCGCAUAAAAACUUUAAACACAAGUUUUAAGUUUGAAAGAUGCAAUUGCAUCACUCAAAGAUGAUCCCGCGUUGUAUUAGCUAGUUGGUGAGGUAAAGGCUCACCAAGGCGAUGAUACAUAGCCGACCUGAGAGGGUGAUCGGCCACAUUGGGACUGAGACACGGCCCAAACUCCUACGGGAGGCAGCAGUAGGGAAUCUUCGGCAAUGGACGAAAGUCUGACCGAGCAACGCCGCGUGAGUGAAGAAGGUUUUCGGAUCGUAAAACUCUGUUGGUAGAGAAGAGCGUUGGUGAGAGUGGAAAGCUCAUCAAGUGACGGUAACUACCCAGAAAGGGACGGCUAACUACGUG